AUUGAACGCUGGCGGCAGGCUUAACACAUGCAAGUCGAGCGGGGGAAGGUAGCUUGCUACCGGACCUAGCGGCGGACGGGUGAGUAAUGCUUAGGAAUCUGCCUAUUAGUGGGGGACAACAUCUCGAAAGUGAUGCUAAUACCGCAUGCGUCCUACGGGAGAAAGCAGGGGAUCUUCGGACCUUGCGCUAAUAGAUGAGCCUAAGGAGGAUUGGCUGGUUGGUGGGGUAAAGGCCUACCAAGGCGACGAUCUGUAGCGGGGCUGAGAGGAUGAUCCGCCGCACUGGGACUGAGACACGGGCCAGACUCCUACGGGAGGCAGCAGUGGGGAAUAUUGGACAAUUGGGGGAACCCUGAUCCAGCCAUGCCGCGUGUGUGAAGAAGGCCUUAUGGUUGUAAAGCACUUUAAGCGAGGAGGAGGCUACUCUAGUUAAUACCUAGGGAUAGUGGACGUUACUCGCAGAAUAAGCACCGGCUAACUCUGUGCCAGCCGCCGCGGUAA
rnacentral:rRNA from 1 species